rnacentral:rRNA from 1 species
GGGGGCGGCAGCUACCAUGCAGUCGAGCGGAACGAUGGAAGCUUGCUUCCAGGCGUCGAGCGGCGGACGGGUGAGUAAUGCAUAGGAAUCUGCCCGAUAGUGGGGGAUAACCUGGGGAAACCCAGGCUAAUACCGCAUACGUCCUACGGGAGAAAGCAGGGGAUCUUCGGACCUUGCGCUAUCGGAUGAGCCUAUGUCGGAUUAGCUAGUUGGUGAGGUAACGGCUCACCAAGGCCGCGAUCCGUAGCUGGUCUGAGAGGAUGAUCAGCCACAUCGGGACUGAGACACGGCCCGAACUCCUACGGGAGGCAGCAGUGGGGAAUAUUGGACAAUGGGCGAAAGCCUGAUCCAGCCAUGCCGCGUGUGUGAAGAAGGCUUUCGGGUUGUAAAGCACUUUCAGUGGGGAAGAAAUCCUCGGGGCCAAUACCCUCGAGGGAGGACAUCACCCACAGAAGAAGCACCGGCUAACUCCGUGCCAGCAGCCGCGGUAAUACGGAGGGUGCGAGCGUUAAUCGGAAUUACUGGGCGUAAAGCGCGCGUAGGCGGCGUGAUAAGCCGGUUGUGAAAGCCCCGGGCUCAACCUGGGAACGGCAUCCGGAACUGUCAGGCUAGAGUGCAGGAGAGGAAGGUAGAAUUCCCGGUGUAGCGGUGAAAUGCGUAGAGAUCGGGAGGAAUACCAGUGGCGAAGGCGGCCUUCUGGACUGACACUGACGCUGAGGUGCGAAAGCGUGGGUAGCAAACAGGAUUAGAUACCCUGGUAGUCCACGCCGUAAACGAUGUCGACUAGCCGUUGGGGUCCUUGUGACCUUUGUGGCGCAGUUAACGCGAUAAGUCGACCGCCUGGGGAGUACGGCCGCAAGGUUAAAACUCAAAUGAAUUGACGGGGGCCCGCACAAGCGGUGGAGCAUGUGGUUUAAUUCGAUGCAACGCGAAGAACCUUACCUACUCUUGACAUCGUGCGAACUUUCCAGAGAUGGAUCGGUGCCUUCGGGAACGCACAGACAGGUGCUGCAUGGCCGUCGUCAGCUCGUGUUGUGAAAUGUUGGGUUAAGUCCCGUAACGAGCGCAACCCUUGUCCCUAUUUGCCAGCGAUUCGGUCGGGAACUCUAGGGAGACUGCCGGUGACAAACCGGAGGAAGGUGGGGACGACGUCAGGUCAUCAUGGCCCUUACGAGUAGGGCUACACACGUGCUACAAUGGCCGGUACAAAGGGUUGCGAAGCCGCGAGGUGGAGCUAAUCCCGAAAAGCCGGUCUCAGUCCGGAUCGGAGUCUGCAACUCGACUCCGUGAAGUCGGAAUCGCUAGUAAUCGUGAAUCAGAAUGUCACGGUGAAUACGUUCCCGGGCCUUGUACACACCGCCCGUCACACCAUGGGAGUGGACUGCACCAGAAGUGGUUAGCCUAACUUCGGAGGGCGAUCACCACGUGUUCUUU